UGAGGAAUUUUGCGCAAUGGAGGAAACUCUGACGCAGCGACGCCUCGUGAAUGAUGAAGUCUUUCGGGAUGUAAAGUUCUGUCAGUGGGGAAAAUUAUGAUGGUACCCACAGAGGAAGCACCGGCUAACUACGUGCCAGCAGCCGCGGUAAUACGUAGGGUGCGAGCGUUAUCCGGAUUUAUUGGGCGUAAAGGGUGUGUAGGCGGUUUGAUAAGUUGGGUGUGAAAGCUAUAGGCUUAACCUGUAGUUGCGCCCAAAACUAUCUGACUAGAGAAUGCUAGAGGAAAGCGGAACUCAUGGUGUAGCGGUGAAAUGCGUAGAUAUCAUGAGGAACACCAGUGGCGAAGGCGGCUUUCUGGGGCAUUUCUGACGCUGAAACACGAAAGCAUGGGGAGCAAACAGG
rnacentral:rRNA from 1 species